rnacentral:rRNA from 1 species
UUUUGGAAGGGGCUUAUGAGAGUUAAGGCAGCCUUCUUUAAUAGAACAAAGUUUAUUGUCGGUGAUGGCAAUGAUACACGGUUCUGGGAGGAUACUUGGCUGGGUGAUACACCAUUGGCAAUACAGUACCCAACCCUGUAUCGUAUUGUCCAGCGACGGGAUGAGUUAGUUGCAACGGUCAUGCAGUCCAUUCCCCUUAAUAUUCAAUUUCGGAGGGUGCUUGUUGGUGAUAGAUGGGAAGCUUGGCUUCAUCUGGUGCGUAGACUGAUGGAAGUCCAGCUAGCUCAUCAGCCCGACCAGUUGUGUUGGAAACUUACUAGGUCUGGACAAUUUACUGUUAAGUCGAUGUACAUCGAUGUUAUUAACUCGACUGUCAUUCCUAGUUCCAAAUAUGUUUGGAAAGUAAAAGUUCCUUUGAAAAUUAAA